GUGCUUUCCAUUUUGAUGCUUUCUUGGUGGUGCAUGACACAGCUCCUGCCUUGGAUACCAAGCAUUGUGCGGCAUCCUGAAGAAGACUGAUUCAGAGGAAGAGUUAGCUAAAGGCGGAAGAGAGAAAAAAACCAAAGUCGAAGGGAGGGGGGGUGCACCAAUAAGCACUGUUGAAGCAGACAGGAAGUAAGGAAGCCACACGCUUACAAUGCACAUGACUGACAGAAGUGCUGGGAGCUGAAGUACUGCUGCAGACCAACGGCUGGGAAUGAGAUUCAGGAUGAGGGUCAAGAUACAGUUGAGACUUUAUUUAUGUUUGUCGAUGAUGUUUGUGGCUUGUGUUAUGGAACCUUUCAGUUCCUCAACUCCUACUUUGUCUGACCAAACUACACGGAUCACCAUUGCAUCAUUUACAGAAAAUGAGAAGGAUUCUGGAUCUGGGACAGAAUUAAAUACUUCCCCUGAGGAAAUGAACACUGAAAGUAUUCUAACACCACCAGGGCUAACUGUGCCAGCAAAAAUGACGAAUGAAACAGCAAACAUAGCAAAUAAUGAUGGCGACCAUGAUGCAGCUUUUGUUUACGAUUACAGUUCCCUUCGGCAUGUGGGGUUAUUUGUGGCUGCGGUGCUCUUCCUGAUGGGAAUUGCAGUGAUGACGUAUUACUACAGGCACUACUGUCAUCAAACUGUUAUAUGGAUCAUUCUCAGGCCCUGAUCUGACAAAAGGAGAUCUAGACUAAAAUCAGCUUAUCAGGAUAUUACUUUGAAAAGAUGCCAUUGAUUGAAAUACAUCUGCUUGUGCCCAGAUCUUGACUCUGGUUUCUUCCUUGUAACACAGUUGGUAGAGUGUGCCGGAAGUCUAGGUGUCACGUAACUUCGGGAAAGUUUUACGAGGUGAACAGAGUGUAAAUAAGAUGAACAUUCAUUGAUGUCAUUAUUAAGUUAUGAUUGUGAUUAACUCCUAGUCUUGUCAAAUGCAUACAAUAAUGUGAAUAAAAGCCUGAAUACCAACUGCCAAAAACUUAAAAUUAUAUAAAUUUAGAAAUCCAUCCAUUUCAGGGAAGCAGAGUAAGUUUAUGAAUAACUAUAUGCACAUCCAUCCAUCCAUCUUCCAAUAGCUUAACUAGUCUACGGUUGGGGGAAAUGCUUAAUUCAUAUUUCAUUCUUACAUGUCUGCCUAUUGAUGCUGUGUCCAAACUUGUCCUUUAAUCAUUCAAUAUUACUGACAUCGGUAAAACUUGAUUGUUCAUUUACAUUGUACAUUUUCAUAUUGUUCAAAUUUGUCCAAACUUCUCACAGUCCUGCAGUAUUUUGUUGAUAUAAUAUAAUUUUCUUAUUUUGAUUCUUUUAUAGAUACGUCUGUAAAGAAAAGGAAAGCAGUCAAAAUGUUUAAAUAAGCCAAUUAUUUUGUGAAUAGCAGUUGUUUUAGUAAAUAACCAAUUUUCCUGUUUUCACUAACACUAUACUGCUUUAUCACUGUAAGAAUCAAAUUACUGGUGUCUCAUGCAGAGUGUACCCCAGCCCUGUGCUGCUUGAUUCCGGAUAAGCAGUUGGAAGAUGGAUGGAUAAUCUAAUAACAGCAUUGGGGGUUUGCAUGUUCCUCCCAUCCAAAGACAAACAGUUAAUUGGAGUAUUUCAGUUAUUUAGGGUGUAUGGGUGUUUAUCAAUAUGCAUACUCAACCAUUCUUGUGUUUUCACGUACUCGCUUGAUGUGAUUUUCCAUUGUUUAAUUACAAUUCCAAUAAUCAGGAACAAAAGUAAGGAGGAUGUAGUUCUUGCCCAGCCCCAAAAAUUAAGGAUGCAUCAGUCGCAUUUUCACUAACAAGGAACAAUGUCAUGACUGAUUACGUACCAAGUUUGUUCUUCAGAGGCAAGUUGGCAAGAACAUCCUUGCCAAGAAACACAAGUACGAUCUUUGCAUUCUCUGUAUUGAGAAACACCCUACGAUUGUGUAUGUAUAUGUUCUGUGACAUACUGGCAUCCCAUCCAGGGCAUACCCCAGCCUUGUGUCCGGUGCUGCCUGGGAUAGGCUCCAGGGUCCCCUUGACCGUAACCAAGAUAAGUGUUUGGAAAAUAGAUGGAUGUAUGGAUGUAGUAACUACAGCUAAAUUAUUCAAAAAUGCUUUAUGUAUGGUACUUUAUUGUUUGUAUUUUUUAGAUUUUGCAUAAUUGUAGUUAGAAUAAACCCUGUCUGAAAAGUUUGAGGGAUUGCCCAGAUAUAUGUAUAUUACUUUUUUGUCAAACACCAUGCUUCAGCAAAAGGUUACCUAAGCAGCACAUUGCCUAAAGAAGAGAUCGAAGACUGGCAGUAAGUACAGCAGAAAGCAUUUAUUAUCACACUGUAAUCAUUUGGUGCACGUACGUGUUUGAAUAUAUACAACGGAUAAUUAAUCACAUACCAACUGUUAAUAAAAUUUAAAUGUAAAAUGUCA